rnacentral:rRNA from 1 species
AUGGGCUGGUCAGUCGUACCAUUUCUCCCCACGACCAACUGGUCUUAUGACUUGGCCAAUAUCAUUGAACAUCUAGAGCUACACGAUGCAGGGCUGGCCAAGAUCCUGAAGAAGUACGACAAGCGUACGGGGCGGCUGCUCCGGCUGCCCUUCAUCGAGGAGGUGCUCAAGCAGCCCUUCUACACCACGGAGCUCAUGUCGAGGCUGGUCCGCGAGUGCGAGGAGACCAUGGAGGCCGUGUUCGCCUCCGACAACAGUGGUGACCCAUGGACGAGGAAGCACUGCACCGACACUGAGUUGACUCCCAUGGCAACGGAGCAGGGUAUUUUAAGGAACACCGUCGCGACGCUGGUGGCCAUGAGGGAGCUCCGCAGUGGGAGCUGGACGUACGGACACUUCUCGCUGCCACCCUUGGAAACGGAGACCACCUUGACGGAGCAUGUGUCCAUCCAGGUUGCCGAUCUCGUUCAAUCUGAGGCACGUGGUGUUGUUCCGGUGGUUUGA